rnacentral:rRNA from 1 species
AUUGAACGCUGGCGGCAUGCCUUACACAUGCAAGUCGAACGGCAGCACGGGGGCAACCCUGGUGGCGAGUGGCGAACGGGUGAGUAAUGCAUCGGAACGUGCCCAGUAGUGGGAGAUAGCCCGGCGAAAGCCGGAUUAAUACCGCAUACGUACUGAGGUAGAAAGCGGGGGACCGAAAGGCCUCGCGCUAUUGGAGCGGCCGAUGUCGGAUUAGCUUGUUGGUGGGGUAAUGGCCUACCAAGGCGACGAUCCGUAACUGGUCUGAGAGGACGACCAGUCACACUGGGACUGAGACACGGCCCAGACUCCUACGGGAGGCAGCAGUGGGGAAUUUUGGACAAUGGGCGCAAGCCUGAUCCAGCCAUGCCGCGUGCGGGACGAAGGCC